CCUUGCAGAGUUUGCCAUAUUUUCCCUGUUUCUCUUAGAAAGAAGCACCAAAUCUGAACAAAUCAAAGGACUGCUUGCACCCAUCAGGCCGGAGGGAAGAUGAGGAAACCUCAGCACAGAGGCAUUAAGUAACUCGGCCAAGGUCUCACGGACAGUACUGGCUACCCCAGCAAGCUUUAUUACACACCAAAGAUCUCCUCCUACUGCAACUCACCUCUGACUGUAAACCUUCCAUGAAGAGUCACUGAGCCUGCUGGAGACCUGCUUCUGGAGAAACCCAUCAAAAUUUGGGGGUACACGGGUCAUAACUCUCCCAUGCCUUCUCAUCUUUUGCAACUCAUCUCUGACUGUAAACCCUCCAUGAAAGAGCCGCUGAACCUGCUGGAGACCUGCUUCUGGAGAAAUCCAUCAAAACUUGGGAGCACAAGGGUGAAUAGGGAGAUAAGAGCUAAAAAACAGAAUCAUUCAAUUUGGAUGUUGAUAGAUUCCAAUGAGUUCCAUUCAAUCCAAAAGGCUGUUGAACAUUCUAUCAAUGGACUUAUAUUCCUAUCCACACAGCAGGUGGUGCCUCUUGGUUUGGGUUUAGAUAGCUAUCCUAGCCUAAUUCCAAGGCAAAUUUACCAGCUCCCCAGACUUCCAGUCGUAUUUAAAUCAGUGAUCUAGACUUCACUGAUUUCAUGUGCUAUGCGAACAAGUGUAAGGCAUUACAAUUCUGUGCAGCCAAAUCCCAGAUCUCUGAGAUGGAAUAACUUGGAAAAGUAAAAGCUAUUACUCAUGCUUCUCUCCAAUUUGUCUUAAAUUUGGAUUUGUCAUGUAUAUAGUGCUAUUAAGUUCACAAAGGUAGGUGGCAUAGCAGAUAGUUUUGGACUAGAAGUCAGGGAGAUCUAAAUUCAAAUCCUGCCUCAGACACUUAACAGCUGUAUGACCUUAGGCA